CCCUUGCCAAAUGCUUGCCAAAUGCUAAGGGAGGACGGGAAAAAGAAAACCAGUUUGCCCCAGAAAGCUUUAUCUCUCUUCAGGCCUCUGGUUCGUGUUUCCUUUUCUUCCUUGGUCCCAGCUUCCUUCCUGUCUGUCGCGGCUUUUCGAAGGCGGGGGGGGGGGGGGGGGGGGGGGGGGGGAAAGGGGAGAGAAGACGUGGGGUAACGCGUUGCGAGUCGUUAGCUUUCUCCAACCUAAUGCCAGCCUGAUGUGACAUAACUACAGCUUUCAUCAUCCUCAGCUAGCCGCCUGACGGGAGUUAUUGCCCAACCCCUCUGGAAGGCAUUAGAAACCGGCUGAUGGCGCUGCGCGUCCCCCACCUUAGAGAACGCAAGAAGUUACCGGAGGGAUCCCGCAUUCCUACUCCGCGCAUUUCAUGCAGAGCAGAAAGGAAGCUGGCCGAGCUGCAGUGGGAGAGUGGAAGGAAAAACAGCCCCUUCUUCCUGCGUCCCGAUCCCCAAUUUGUCGGCAGGGAGACCUGGUUUUCUCAGCGUAAGCCAACAAAAGGAGGCGACUCCAGUUGCACUUAUUUCCACCGCGCGUCCCGGUUACGGUUCGAGAAACCUGCGUUGAUAAAACAUUGGUUUAAGGUAACCCCGGGGUUCAGAGCGCCCCCUGAUGGAGCAGGGUUGCAAUAAUAAUUGUCGUUUUUGAACACCCGCUUGGGUGCUGUUGAGAGGAGAGGGCAGCCAACAAGACUUGCAAAACCAAAUCCCUUUCUUGUCCAAGCGGCCCCGAAAUACCAGAAAGGUGUAUAGUGAAGGCAUGCCAAGCCAACACCCACAGAACAAGCUCUGAGGUCACCUCCUCAUUUAUGUCCAGCUAAUCUUCCGAGAAAAGAGGACCGUGAGGCAGAAUGGGGACAGACCAAAGCUGAGCUGUGCAAAGAAAAAAAGAAUCGAAACAGGCAACUGCCCUUCUACAGUAAGAAAGUAUUAAAUGAGAAACAUGUGAAUCAUCAUAAUGGAAUGAACUGAAGAUGCUAUACUGCCAAAUGUUGCUGAAGGACAAUUCAGCGGCAUCUGAAUUCAGGAUUCUUCACCUCUCUCGGUCUCCUGGGAGCUGUUGGGAUUAAGAUGGUUCUCCUCCAGUCAUUGUUGUCUUGUGUUUCCCUUGAUACGGGUCUGGAUAAUUUAUGAUCCAUAUGAGCUGGAUAAACCUCCAGUUCUUACCUGCCUGGGCUUCAGCCUGUUAGCUGGGAAAGACCACACACAAGUCAGAGCUGACUCUUGGCUACUAAGUGGACACAUAAUCCACGCUGUUUUCUUGGAAGCAAAAUGGGAAUAGUGUGUCACAACCUUCUCCCAAGAUGUUUUUUUUUUCACAACUACCAACACUAACCUAAAACUUGGAUUCCUUGAUAUCCUCUCAGCUCCACUUGGCUUUCAAAACCAGACAAAGUGUUGAAAGCAUGAUUUUAUACAAUUAACCAGAAGUAAGGCCAAUUUAGGGGUAUUCACUUCUGUGAAUGAGUGUUAGAAUAUAUUAUGAAAUAGUCCAGCUAUAUGCACAUUUUCUUGUAAGUUUCACUAUUUUAAUGGGCUUUAUUCAUAGGUAGCUGGGAAAGUAGACUGAUUUAUUUUCAUUUGUAUGGUACAUUAGAACAAAUGGAAUUAUUAAAAAUAAGAGGAAAAAAAAGUUGUUCCAGGCUGCAAUCCUCCUGAGAAGAAACUCAUUCCUGAGCAACUCAUUCCUCAAGAUUAACACUGGGUGGAGCAGGCCUCUUUUCAGACAUUAACUUGGAUUAGAGUGACUAGAUAAUAUUGAUUUUGAGGGCGGCCAUGUUUAAUUUUCAAGGGGUUGUGAAAUGGACACGCUGACCAAUAUGUUAUUGCAUACCUGAAUCUGUUGUGGAAGUUUCAAAGAUAUUGUCCUGGAAGAUUUACAUUGCUUGCGUUAACAACUUCCUGUCCUACUUCUAGUGUUAAUUAACUGAGCAAAUCAAGGAUGAUUAUCUUAUCUCACCAAUUACUGCUGCUUUAAGUGAAUGGUCACCAUUGUUGUUUUACAAACGUGCUUCAAUUGGAUUCACAGGCUGGGCAUACUUUAUUUCAAAAACUUUUUAUGGCUACUGAGCCUCAUCACUCCAUAUUUGCAAAUAUACCUCAUCCCGUAGUCCAAAACGACAUCGGGCCAACAAUCUGAGCCUCACCAAUGACGUUAUUAAAUGUCAAUGCUGACUUCCUAAAGACCUUGGCUACCAGAAAUUAAACAUACAUAUAUAAUGGUUAUAGUUGUUAUUAUUUUUAAUUUUUAUCUAAAAUAUUUGAAAAGAGAUUUAUUCUAGUUAAGGGGACUUUUCAGAGCUUUCCAUCUCUUCUGAAAGCAUUUUUGGAAUGCAUUUAGGGUUUCUUCCUGGCCUUCUCUGAAGCUAGGUAUUAUUCUAUGAGUCGUAGAUUCUGAUUUACUUAUAAGAUUGCCUGCAUGCCAUCUGUACAUUGUGUGACAUAAUUGGACUUCUGUUGAACUGUUUUGUAGUGAUUAAAAAUGGAGAUGGGAACUGCUUGUGAGGAGCACAUGCUCAGAAUAAAUUAAUAUUCCAACUUUU